GACGAACGCUGGCGGCGUGCUUAACACAUGCAAGUCGAACGGAAAGGCCCUGCUUUUGCGGGUUGCUCGAUUGGCGAACGGGUGAGUAACACGUGAGUAACCUGCCCUUGACUUUGGGAUAACAUCAGGAAACUGGGGCUAAUACCGGAUAUGAGCUUCUGCUGCAUGGGGUGGGUUGGUAAGUUUCGGUGGUUGGGGCUGGACUCGCGGCUUAUCGGCUGGUUGGUGGGGUUGUGGCUUACGAAGGCUUAGACGGAUAGCCGGCCUGGGAGGGUGGACAGGGACAUGGGGACUGAGGUAGGGCCCAGAAGGCAACGGGAGGCAGCGGGGGAGAAUAUGGCGCAGUGGGGGGAAGCCUGAGACAGCGACGCCGGGUGCGGGAUGACGGCCUACGGGUUGAAAACAGAUUUCGCAUGUGCCGAAGAGUGAGUGACGGUAAUGGGUAAAGAAGCACCGGCUAACUACGUG
rnacentral:rRNA from 1 species